GGGGCUGAUUCUGGAUUCGACGGGAUUUGCGAAACCCAAGGUGCAUGCCGAGGGGCGGUUGGCCUCGUAAAAAGCCGCAAAAAAAUAGUCGCAAACGACGAAAACUACGCUUUAGCAGCUUAAUAACCUGCUUAGAGCCCUCUCUCCCUAGCCUCCGCUCUUAGGACGGGGAUCAAGAGAGGUCAAACCCAAAAGAGAUCGCGUGGAGGCCCUGCCUGGGGUUGAAGCGUUAAAACGAAUCAGGCUAGUCUGGUAGUGGCGUGUCCGUCCGCAGGUGCCAGGCGAAUGUAAAGACUGACUAAGCAUGUAGUACCGAGGAUGUAGGAAUUUCGGACGCGGGUUCAACUCCCGCCAGCUCCACC
rnacentral:tmRNA from 1 species